rnacentral:rRNA from 1 species
GACGAACGCUGGCGGCGUGCUUAACACAUGCAAGUCGAACGGAAAGGCCCUGCUUUUGUGGGGUGCUCGAGUGGUGAACGGGUGAGUAACACGUGAGUAACCUGCCCUUGACUUUGGGAUAACUUCAGGAAACUGGGGCUAAUACCGGAUAGGAGCUCCUGCUGCAUGGUGGGGGUUGGAAAGUUUCGGCGGUUGGGGAUGGACUCGCGGCUUAUCAGCUUGUUGGUGGGGUAGUGGCUUACCAAGGCUUUGACGGGUAGCCGGCCUGAGAGGGUGACCGGCCACAUUGGGACUGAGAUACGGCCCAGACUCCUACGGGAGGCAGCAGUGGGGAAUAUUGCACAAUGGGCGGAAGCCUGAUGCAGCAAUGCCGCGUGCGGGAUGACGGCCUUCGGGUUGUAAACCGCUUUCGCCUGUGACGAAGCGUGAGUGACGGUAAUGGGUAAAGAAGCACCGGCUAACUACGUG